UACGUAGGGGGCAAGCGUUUGUCCGGAUUUAUUGGGCGUAAAGAGCGUGUAGGCGGCUAGAUAGGUCCGUUGUGAAAACUCGAGGCUCAACCUCGAGACGUCGAUGGAAACCAUCUGGCUAGAGUCCGGAAGAGGAGAGUGGAAUUCCUGGUGUAGCGGUGAAAAUGCGCAGAUAUCAGGAAGAACACCCGUGGCGAAGGCGGCUCUCUGGUACGUGACUGACGCUGAGACGCGAAAGCGUGGGGAGCGAACAGG
rnacentral:rRNA from 1 species